rnacentral:rRNA from 1 species
UACGUAGGGUGCAGGCGUUAAUCGGAAUUACUGGGCGUAAAGCGUGCGCAGGCGGUUUGCUAAGACAGGUGUGAAAUCCCCGGGCUUAACCUGGGAACUGCGCUUGUCACUGGCAGGCUUGAGUGUGGCAGAGGGGGGUGGAAUUCCACGUGUAGCAGUGAAAUGCGUAGAGAUGUGGAGGAACACCGAUGGCGAAGGCAGCCCCCUGGGCUAACACUGACGCUCAUGCACGAAAGCGUGGGGAGCAAACAGG